AAGAAGAGAGAGGAAGAUCACAUUUGUUAAAAGCAGAUCAAAAGAAGACAGAAAGAAAUCAUGUAUGGGAAACCAAUCCCAUAUGCACUGCUCAACAGCACCAAAACUCUUGAAAGAACUCAAAUUUUUUUACUAAGGAAAGGGUGUACCCAGUCCACGAGGCUCC